ACUCAAAUGAAUUGACGGGGACCCGCACAAGCAGAGGAGGAUGUGGUUUAAUAUGACGCUACGCGUAGAACCUUACCCAGGCUUGACAUCUUAGGAAUCUUUGAGAAAUCAGAGAGUGCCUUCGGGAGCCUAAUGACAGGUGCUGCAUGGCCGUCGUCAGCUCGUGUCGUGAGAUGUUGGGUUAAGUCCCGCAACGAGCGCAACCCUUAUCGUAUGUUGUAUUUUUCAUGCGAGACUGCCCGGGCCAACCGGGAGGAAGGUGGGGAUGACGUCAGGUCGGCAUGGCCCUUACGCCUGGGGCCACACACGUCCUACAAUGGCUAGUACAACGCGUUGCCAACCCGCGAGGGGGAGCUAAUCGCAUCAAAACUAGUCUCAGUUCGGAUUGGAGGCUGCAACUCGCCUCCAUGAAGUCGGAUUUGCUAGUAAACGUGGGUCAGCACACCACGUUGAAUACGUUCCCGGGUCUUGUACACACCGCCCGU
rnacentral:rRNA from 1 species